rnacentral:rRNA from 1 species
AUGAACGCUAGCGACAGGCUUAACACAUGCAAGUCGAGGGGCAGCACAGGUAGCAAUACCGGGUGGCGACCGGCGCACGGGUGAGUAACGCGUAUGCAACUUGCCUAUCAGAGGGGGAUAACCCGGCGAAAGUCGGACUAAUACCGCAUGAAGCAGGGAUCCCGCAUGGGAAUAUUUGCUAAAGAUUCAUCGCUGAUAGAUAGGCAUGCGUUCCAUUAGGCAGUUGGCGGGGUAACGGCCCACCAAACCGACGAUGGAUAGGGGUUCUGAGAGGAAGGUCCCCCACAUUGGUACUGAGACACGGACCAAACUCCUACGGGAGGCAGCAGUGAGGAAUAUUGGUCAAUGGCCGAGAGGCUGAACCAGCCAAGUCGCGUGAGGGAUGAAGGUUCUAUGGAUCGUAAACCUCUUUUAUAAGGGAAUAAAGUGCGGGACGUGUCCCGUUUUGUAUGUACCUUAUGAAUAAGGAUCGGCUAACUCCGUGCCAGCAGCCGCGGUAAUACGGAGGAUCCGAGCGUUAUCCGGAUUUAUUGGGUUUAAAGGGUGCGUAGGCGGCCUUUUAAGUCAGCGGUGAAAGUCUGUGGCUCAACCAUAGAAUUGCCGUUGAAACUGGGGGGCUUGAGUAUGUUUGAGGCAGGCGGAAUGCGUGGUGUAGCGGUGAAAUGCAUAGAUAUCACGCAGAACCCCGAUUGCGAAGGCAGCCUGCCAAGCCAUUACUGACGCUGAUGCACGAAAGCGUGGGGAUCAAACAGGAUUAGAUACCCUGGUAGUCCACGCAGUAAACGAUGAUCACUAGCUGUUUGCGAUACACUGUAAGCGGCACAGCGAAAGCGUUAAGUGAUCCACCUGGGGAGUACGCCGGCAACGGUGAAACUCAAAGGAAUUGACGGGGGCCCGCACAAGCGGAGGAACAUGUGGUUUAAUUCGAUGAUACGCGAGGAACCUUACCCGGGUUUGAACGCAUUCGGACCGAGGUGGAAACACCUUUUCUAGCAAUAGCCGUUUGCGAGGUGCUGCAUGGUUGUCGUCAGCUCGUGCCGUGAGGUGUCGGCUUAAGUGCCAUAACGAGCGCAACCCUUGCCACUAGUUACUAACAGGUAAAGCUGAGGACUCUGGUGGGACUGCCAGCGUAAGGUGCGAGGAAGGCGGGGAUGACGUCAAAUCAGCACGGCCCUUACAUCCGGGGCGACACACGUGUUACAAUGGCGUGGACAAAGGGAAGCCACCUGGCGACAGGGAGCGAAUCCCCAAACCACGUCUCAGUUCGGAUCGGAGUCUGCAACCCGACUCCGUGAAGCUGGAUUCGCUAGUAAUCGCGCAUCAGCCAUGGCGCGGUGAAUACGUUCCCGGGCCUUGUACACACCGCCCGUCAAGCCAUGGGAGCCGGGGGUACCUGAAGUCCGUAACCGCGAGGAUCGGCCUAGGGUA